rnacentral:sRNA from 1 species
UACAGAUUUCAUAUGCCGGUUCAGGCUUC